rnacentral:lncRNA from 1 species
ACUCCAGUCCAGGCAGCCAGCAGGCCCAGGGCUGGUGUGGCCUGGCCGCUUCCUUUGGCAGCUCUCAAAGUCUAGGGGGAGGGGUCCUGGGCCCACCGGGGUCCGUCAGGCCAUCCCUGCGGCCCCACCUGAGAGGACGGCCCUCUUCAUGGAGCUGGGAUCUGACACUGGCUGGUGCCGACAGCAGACACCAGAAGUGACUUUGGGCGUUAGAUGGGGUCUGCUCAGCCCCUGCUGGGUCUGAAGGAUCACAGGACACCUUGCCUUGCCCAGGCCCUGGUCUUCAGUUCCAGGACCCAGCUGGCACUCAGUAUAUUGAGUUGGAUGAAUGAAUGAAGAAAUUUGCCCAUCCAGUCGUUCAACAUUUAUCCAGCACAUUCCAUGUGCACUGCUGUGGGUGCUGGAGAUACAGCAGUGAAUAGACUCUUAAUUGUUGACCAGAAUUUCUCGACCUCGGCACUAUUGACAUUUGAGGCUGGAUAAUUCCUUGUAAUGGAAGGGCAUGUCCUAUGUAUUAUAGGAUGCUUGGCAGCAACUCUGGAAUCCACCCACUAGCACCUGUUCCUGACCCCCAAGGCACCUGGCAAGAUUACCCUUUCUUGCUGCCUUUGAAGUUAAAUGUGACCAUGUGACUGGUCUCAGCCAAUGAAAUGUGAUCAGAAACAAUCGGCAUCACACCUGGGCGGAAGCUUUAAGAGUCAGUGCCGUGGCUGGUAUGGAAGCAAAGGGAAAUCUGCAGUCAUGAGGACAAGCACAGGGACAAGCCGACUCAUGUUAGUAGGAGUCAAAUGCAGAUGAAAAUGUGGAGCAACCAGAACUAGACGCUCCUGAUGAAGUGGUGGUUGGUGGGCAAGAUAGAGCCAUGUGCCAAUAACUCAUCAAAGCGAAGACGCCCGUCAUCUGAGAUCCGGAAAUUCCAGUCCUGCACAUUAUCCCAGAGACACUCUCACCCACAGCUGAUGGAGUCCGUGCAUGAACCAAGGCCUCUCCAUGCGGUAUCUCCACCUUUACAGUAACCCUACAAGGUAGGUAGGUGUUAGCCAACAUGACAAUGCUGCUGCCACUUGAAAUCCACUGGAAUUGGUUGCAUUUAUAGAAAGCAUUGUACCCAUUCCCUAGAUCUGGAGAGGUGAUCAGACCCAGCAUUAUUCACAGUAUUUUCUGAGGAGGACCUGGAGCCCAGAGCGAUAAAGGAAAAGCCACCUAUCACAGUGGGGUGGUUAAAAUAAAACCCAACUUCCAGCCAAGACGGAAGGAGCCAGGGUCCCUCUGUGAAGGAGAUAAACUCGUCUAUCUUACAUUUGGAGUUUGUUUAUUAUGCCAGCUAGUAUUGUCCUUACUAAUACAAUGCCCGGGUCUGUGUGUAGGUUAUUUAACCUCUUCCUUACCUCUUCUGAGAAAUGUAUAUGAUGACAACACCUACUCAGUGGGCAGUUGUAAGGAUUAAAGGAAGUAAUUUUUUUGUUUGUUUUGUUUUUUGGUCUUUUUGCCUUUUCUAGGGCCACUCCUGAGGCAUAUGGAAGUUCCCGGCUAGGGGUCUAAUUGGAGCUGUAGCCACCGGCCUACGACAGAGCCACAGCAACUCAGAAUCCGAGGCGCGUCUGUGGUGUAGUUGGCUGACGUGGCUCAGAUGCCACGUUGCUGUGGCUGUGGCAUAGGCCUGCAGCUGUAGCUCUGAUUCAGCCCCUAGCCUGGUAACCUUCAUAUGCCACAGGUGCAGCCUAAAAAGCAAAAAACAAAACAACAUAAAUGCUAUUAUUAAUCACCCCAUUUGACAGAUGAAGAAACUGAGACACAGAAAAUUAAUUCACCCAAAGCCACAUGUCCAGUAGGUGGCAACUUGAGCCUACAGUCUGAUUCCAGAGUCUGAGCUGCUCACCAGCAUGUUUUACAGCCUCGGAUGCUAUUUGUAAGAGCUGACAGUGUAGCUAAAAGAAUGAAGAUUUGAUGCCAGACAGACUAGAUCUUAAUCCCUUGCUGGGUGAUGUAGGGNNNNNNNNNNNNNNNNNNNNCAGUUUCCCUGUUUAAGACGUGGGAAUAAUACUUUCCAGCUUGAUGCAUUAUUGCAUAGAUUAAAAGAGAGAAAACCUAUACAGUAGCCAGCAUCCUGCCCACUAUAUAGAAGCAGUUCAUAUGGAAAUAAAUUUCUUUCCUCUUCAGAGGUCCACCUUUAUGCUAGAGGCAUAUGAGUCAGAAAAAAAUGGAAAGCAUAGUUCCUGCACUUAAGCAUCUCAUAAUCUUUUUAGGAACAAGAUAAAUCAUCUAUGAAAUAAUCAGAAAAGUUCCAAGGUACAUUUAGUAAAGGAUGGAAUUAAUUGCAAAUGUUAAUAGUUAGUGCAGUUUAUGGCCAGACUCUGGACCUGUGCAGCUGCUGCAGCCCCCCGCCACCCUGACUCCUGGCUGACUCCUGCUAAGCCUUCAGGUUUCAGCUUAGAUACGAGUUUACUCCUCCAGGGUCAAGAGGUCCCUGACCCAUUCUCCUUCACAAAGUCCCUUUGUGCUCCCAUAGUGUCCUAUCCACCCAUGUCACAGCAUUCUGUCUUUGAUUGUUACUGUUUUGUCUGUCUACCCCACCAGACCAGAUACUCCCCAAGACCUGAAGCUGUACUUGAUUUUCCUGCAUCCCCUAGUGCCCAGGAGAAUGCCUUGCGUACCAUGAGCCCCCAGUGGUCACUUGUUGAAGAAAUGAACAGGCAAACAAUGAUUAAUGAAUGCAGAAGGCUUCAGGGUAUCCACAACCUCCCUUUAUAAAAUGGGACAAAAAUAAGGCAAUGGUUUCUGACCUCCAGCUGCCCCAAUCACUGAAGGAACUUAACCAAGUAAAGAUUCUUGGAAUCAUCCCAGGAGAUUCUGAUACACCAGGUCUGGAGUGGAGCCCCCAAAGAUGUCAGCUGAAGAAAGUUUCCCUUAGGCAGCCAGAUUUACAAACUGUUAAACCAUAGGGCCUGAAAUCAAGCUGAGGUGGGAUGAGAAGAUGACGUGGACCGUGGGAAAGGGUGAGGGAGACUAUAUUUUGGGGAAUGAAAAGUGGGAACAGCCAUGCCUGGUGUGUGACAUAGUCCCGCAGAUGACCAGCCUCUGGGGCUUUACCCAACUUUGGGCUCAUCAGCCCUUUAGGGAGACAAAGCACUUUAUAGUUUAUGAUACCUUUUCUCCUUCUUGAGCUCAUGGAAUCCUCACAACAGUUCAUUUGAUAGAUGAAGAAACUGAUCAGAGAUCUGCGCAAAGUGCCCGGCAUUGCACAGCUCUAAGUGGGAAAGCCACUUAACAAAACUGCCUCUGACAACAGCCUCCAAUCUGGCUUGAGGCUGAUGCCAUUAGUCAAAGGAACUAGGCCUAUGUCCCCAGGAAAAAUCAGGCUUAACUGACACUUAGAAGCAGUUAUAUUGCCCUGAAGGAGGAUUGUUGACCAGUGGCCAAGUCACCCCCUGUCCCUUACAGGUACUGCUGUCCCAGCCCAGCCCAUCUCCAUCCAUCCAUCCAUCCAUCUGUCUUUUUAUCCACCCACUCACACAUCACCUCUUUCAUCCGUCCAUCCAUCCAUCCGUCAAAGCAGGCAUCUUUCCAGUUACUCAUUCAUCCACUUACCAUAUCCAUUCACAUUUCUCCAUCCAUCCCAUCCAUCCAUCCCAUCCACCCAUCCAUCCAUCCAUCCAUCUUCUUAUUCAUUCAUUAAAUAAACUUCCAUCAAAUUCUACAUGGGACUAGGCCCUGUGGUAACCUAGAGUCGAACAAAAAGAACCAGACAAACAUAGACCUCACCCUCAAGGAGAUUUGAGAUGCUUAUACAAGUAACAGAUUCCCUAAGAGCCAAAAUAAAGAAUCAGUGGAAGCUUGCUAAAGGCAAAACAAGGGCAGGAAAAUAACAAAGCCAAGAAUUAUGUUAGCACAGAGAUACACACACUAUAGCAUCUUAUCCUCACAGUGGCUAAAGGCACCAUCUCAUUGCUGCUGAACUAGAACCCAGAGCAAAUGCAACAACACAAGAGCCACACUAUACUCAGUGGUGGCAGAUCCUGCCCAACAGCUAUUCCUGCUUCCUUAUGACAUGGCAGGAGACCUUUUCGGUGGGCACAACUGACAGGAGGUGUGCUACUAGCAUCUAUUCAGUUGAAGCCAGGAAAGCUGCUCAACAUCCCACGUUGUGCAGGACAAUCUCCUUACUGCAAAGAAUUAUCCAAGCCAACAUAUCAAUAGUGUCAAAGUUGAGGAACCUCUCAGAAGAGAACCCGAAUUUGGUUUGCAGCAGCAUUGGGCCAGACCCUAAGAAAAGACCAUCCUUGGGAAAGUGCUGGCUUUCCCAUUUCUUUCCACUAGACACUCCCUAGCUUUUCUUGAAUUAAGGAAGCUUGCUGGGAGGUUUCUGGGAAAUUUUUGCUUUUAGAGAAUCAAGUGCUUCCAGGAAAACCCAUUCCAGCUUCAUACACUUAAGUGCAAACCUGAUGCCUGAUGCUGUGACAGCCACCUUGGGUCUGUAAUGGGACAAAUCAACAACCAAAAGCCAACACAGUGAGGAUGGCAGAGAAGGGGGAAGGGAAGAGCAUGGACCUGGCUGGCAAGGCUGACCAGUGUCAUAGGGCUCUUUCUUCCUUUUUUAUUUUGUCUUUUUAGGGCCUCACCCCAGCAUGUGGAGGCUCCCAGGCUAGGGGUCUAAUCGGAGCUAUAGCUGUCGGCCUAUGCCAGAGCCACAGCAACGCCAGAUCCAAGCUGCAUCUUCGACCUACACCACUGCUUAUGGCAAUGCCGGAUCCUUAACUCACUGAGCGGGGCCAGGGAUCGAACCCUCAACCUCCUGGAUCCUAGUCAAAUUCGUUUCCUCUGUGCUAUGACGGGAACUCCAGGGCUCUUCCUUAAAACCUGCCUCAAUUCAUUCAUCCAACAGUGAAUUCUGUGCACUUAUUCUGUGAGCAUUGAGCACUUAUUCUGGGUGAGUCACUGUGUGAGACAUGCAGGGCUGAACAAAGCAUUGAAGUCUGUGGCCUCAUGGAGUUUAGAGUCUAGUGGGGAAGAGAGACGUGACAACGUACAUGACAGUUUGAUCAGAGCAGUGAUGAGAACUACAAAGCAGAGUCCAGUGUGCCAUGGAUGCCCUGCAAGUCCAGGGAAGGGCCGAGUUCACCGUUACCACCACACCAAAGAUCAGCUCAUUAAAGACCAUCCUACCGGCUGCA